CAAAUUAGAGCUUGUUAAAGUAUUUCAUUUACAUUGAAAUGAAAAUAUUGAAUUAUAUUUAAUUUGA
rnacentral:tRNA from 1 species